UGACAUCUUCCAUUUUCUGAUAUAUUAUAAUCUCGCCUUCUUCACUUCAUUUAUUAUUCUUUCUUUUUUACUUAUUAUAUAUUGAGCAGAGUUAUUUAUAGAAUGUCCAAUGCGAUGCAAGUUCGAAUUUGAGAUAACAACACCAUGAACUUGAGCAACAAACAAGUUCGAAUUGAAUGGUUUGAUAUUUUCUUUUCCAUUUUUCUUUUCUUCCUUGGGAUUAUCAACAAAUAAAUCCUCGAUAUCAUCUUGAUUCUUAUUAUUGGGUAAUUAUUCUUCUUCUUCGCCUUGUAAGUUGCUAAUCUUUUUUUUCUGGAGUUAAAGAUUUGUAGGAUCCAUGAUUAAUUACACCCUUCAUUUUUAACCCCCCAGUACUUGCAGUAAAUUCUCGAGACCUAGGUGGCAAUUCAUCAAAGUUUUUAGUUACCAUCUCCUUGAAUAUUAAUCUUGGAGUCUUCAAUCUAUUGUUUCCAUCUUUAAAUUGCCCGGCACGGAAG
rnacentral:lncRNA from 1 species